rnacentral:tRNA from 1 species
GGCCCCAUCGUCUAGAGGCCUAGGACAUUGGAUUUUCAGUCCAAGAACAGGGGUUCAAAUCCCCUUGGGGUCA